UACGUAGGGGGCAAGCGUUGUCCGGAUUUAUUGGGCGUAAAGAGCGUGUAGGCGGCCAGACAGGUCCGUUGUGAAAACUCGAGGCUCAACCUCGAGAUGUCGAUGGAAACCGUCUGGCUAGAGUUCGGAAGAGGAGUGUGGAAUUCCUGGUGUAUCGGUGAAAUGCGCAGAUAUCAGGAAGAACACCUAUGGCGAAGGCAGCACUCUGGGACGGUACUGACGCUGAGACGCGAAAGCGUGGGGAGCGAACAGG
rnacentral:rRNA from 1 species